CCUACGGGAGGCAGCAGUGAGGAAUAUUGGUCAAUGGGCGAGAGCCUGAACCAGCCAAGUAGCGUGAAGGAUGACUGCCCUACGGGUUGUAAACGUCUUUUAUAAAGGAAUAAAGUGAGGCACGUGUGCCUUUUUGUAUGUACUUUAUGAAUAAGGAUCGGCUAACUCCGUGCCAGCAGACGCGGUAAUACGGAGGAUCCGAGGGUUAUCCUGAUUUAUUGUGUUUAAAGGGAGCGGAGAUGGGUUGUUACGUUAGUUGGGAAAGUUUGCGGCUCAACCGUAAAAUUGCAAUUGAUACUGGCAGUCUUGAGUACAGUUGAGGUAGGCGGAAUUCGUGGUGUAGCGGUGAAAUGCUUAGAUAUCACGAAGAACUCCGAUUGCGAAGGCAGCUUACUAAACUGCCACUGACAUUGAUGCUCGAAAGUGUGGGUAUCAAACAGGAUUAGAUACCCUUGUAGUC
rnacentral:rRNA from 1 species